UUUACAAGAGAUGUUGAUGUCCUCCACCUCAUAAAAAUUGGAAUACUUUUUGUUGCAGCCACCCAACCCAUCAAUGCUUUGGCAUUUGUAUUUUUGCAGACUAUAAUCUAUCUCCUUACGUGAGAUGGUUAUUACAACCCUGGGUGAUCUGCAUGGGCUCUAUCCGGGGAUCAUUAUUGCAAAAUAAGGUUUUGAGGAUUAAGGAUAAGUCUACUGAUCAGUUUGGAUGAGAUGGCGUCUUCACAAAAUGUCGAGUUGGAGGCAGCCAACUUUCUGCAUAAACUUACUCAGGAUUCUAAAGAUGAGCCAGCUAAGCUGGCUACUAAACUCCAUGUUAUAUUACAACAUAUGAAAUCCAGCGGGAAGGAACAUUCAAUGCCAUAUCAAGUGAUAUCAAGGGCUAAAUUUAUAUCUGCAGAAGAAAGAGUUGGUGUCACUUUUGAUGAUUUUCCUGGCCAGGAAUAUAUAAAGAGGGAAUUGUGAGAGAUUGUACAAAUUUUAAAGAAUGAUGAGGAGUUUCAAGACAAAGGAAUUUAUUGUCCAAAAGGUGUGCUUCUCGAUGGACCUCCAGGAACUGGUAAAACUCUACUGGCUAAAGCCAUC